rnacentral:rRNA from 1 species
UACGGGGGGGGCAAGCGUUGUUCGGAAUUACUGGGCGUAAAGGGCUCGUAGGUGGCCAAAUAAGUCAGACGUGAAAUCCCUCGGCUUAACCGGGGAACUGCGUCUGAUACUGGGUGGCUUGAGUUCGGGAGAGGGAUGCGGAAUUCCAGGUGUAGCGGUGAAAUGCGUAGAUAUCUGGAGGAACACCGGUGGCGAAGGCGGCAUCCUGGACCGACACUGACGCUGAGGAGCGAAAGCCAGGGGAGCAAACGGG